rnacentral:rRNA from 1 species
UACGUAGGGGGCAAGCGUUGUCCGGAUUUAUUGGGCGUAAAGGGUGUGUAGGUGGCGCCGUAAGUCGGGUGUGAAAUUUCGGAGCUUAACUCCGAAACUGCAUUCGAUACUGCGGUGCUUGAGGACUGGAGAGGAGACUGGAAUUCAUGGUGUAGCAGUGAAAUGCGUAGAGAUCAUGAGGAAGACCAGUGGCGAAGGCGGGUCUCUGGACAGUUCCUGACACUGAGGCACGAAGGCCAGGGGAGCAAACGGG